AUCAACGAGAGUACGAGAGGGAGCUACAGGUUCAGACAUCUGGUGUCUGUGUUUGGCUGAGCAACCAGUGGUGCCAAGCUGCCGUCUGUGGGAUUAUGAUAAAAUGCCUAAAAUCAGAAUCCU
rnacentral:ncRNA from 1 species